AUCGCUUCUCGGCCUUUGGCUAAGAUCAAGUGUAGUAUCUGUUCUUAUCAGUUUAAUAUUCGAUACGUCCUCUAUCCGAGGACAAUAUAUUAAAUGGAUUUUUGGAGCAGGGAGAUGGAAUAGGAGCUUGCUCCGUCCACUCCACGCAUCGACCUGGUAUUGCAGUACCUCCAGGAACGGUGUACUCUCC
rnacentral:snRNA from 1 species